rnacentral:rRNA from 1 species
AACGAACGCUGGCGGCGUGCCUAACACAUGCAAGUCGAGCGCGAAAAGGGCAACCUGAGUAGAGCGGCGCACGGGUGCGUAACACGUGGGUAAUCUGCCUUAGAGUCGAGGAUAACCUUCCGAAAGGUUGGCUAAUACUCGGUAAGCUUACGGUGUCUUCGGACGCUGUGGGAAAAGUAGGCCUCUGUUUACAAGCUUACGCUCUGAGAUGAGUCCGCGGCCCAUCAGCUAGUUGGCGGUGUAACGGACCACCAAGGCAACGACGGGUAGCUGGUCUGAGAGGACGAUCAGCCACACUGGAACUGAGACACGGUCCAGACUCCUACGGGAGGCAGCAGUGGGGAAUUUUCCACAAUGGGCGAAAGCCUGAUGGAGCAACGCAGCGUGUGUGAUGAAGGUUUUCGGAUCGUAAAGCACUUUCGACCGGGACGAAAAACCUCUGGCUAACAUCCAGGGGCCUGACGGUACCGGGAGAAGAAGCACCGGCUAACUCUGUGCCAGCAGCCGCCGUAA